rnacentral:miRNA from 1 species
GGGCGCAGUGGUUUAUCGAUC